rnacentral:rRNA from 1 species
GACAGAGGGGGCAAGCGUUGCUCGGAAUUGCUGGGCGUAAAGGGCGCGUAGGCGGGAUGGCAAGUCGGUCGUGAAAUCCCUCGGCUCAACCGAGGAACGUCGAUCGAUACUGCUGUUCUUGAGGAUUGCAGAGGAGACUGGAAUUCCCGGUGUAGCGGUGAAAUGUGUAGAGAUCGGGAGGAACACCGGUGGCGAAGGCGGGUCUCUGGGACGGUACUGACGCUGAGACGCGAAAGCGUGGGGAGCAAACAGG